GACGGAGGAUGCAAGCGUUAUCCGGAAUGAUUGGGCGUAAAGCGUCUGCAGGUGGCCGUUCAAGUCUGCUGUCAAAGACCGGGGCUUAACUUCGGAAAGGCAGUGGAAACUGAACAGCUAGAGUAUGGUAGGGGCAGAGGGAAUUCCUGGUGUAGCGGUGAAAUGCGUAGAGAUCAGGAAGAACAUCGGUGGCGAAGGCGCUCUGCUGGACCAUAACUGACGCUCAGGGACGAAAGCUAGGGGAGCGAAUGGG
rnacentral:rRNA from 1 species